rnacentral:rRNA from 1 species
CCUACGGGUGGCAGCAGUGAGGAAUAUUGGUCAAUGGGCGGAAGCCUGAACCAGCCAAGUAGCGUGCAGGAUGAAGGCCCUACGGGUUGUAAACUGCUUUUAUACGGGAAUAACGCGCCUUACGUGUAGGGCUUUGCAUGUAACGUAUGAAUAAGGACCGGCUAAUUCCGUGCCAGCAGCCGCGGUAAUAAGGAAGGUCCGGGCGUUAUCCGGAUUGAUUGGGUUUAAAGGGAGCUUAGGCCGCAUGUCAACCGUGCUGUGAAAUGUCCGGGCUCAACCCGGGCCUUGCAGCGCGAACUGGCGUGCGUGAGUCCGCGGAAAGCAGGCGGAAGUCGUCGUGUAGCGGUGAAAUGCUUAGAUAUGACGAAGAACCCCGAUUGCGAAGGCAGCUUGCUGCAGCGGAACUGACGCUGAUGCUCGAAAGCGCGGGUAUCGAACAGGAUUAGAUACCCUAGUAGUC